GAUGAACGCUGGCGGCGUGCCUAAUACAUGCAAGUCGAGCGAAAGGACGAGACGCUUGCUUCUCUGACGUUAGCGGCGGACGGGAGUGUAACACGUGUAUAACCUACCUAUCAGACUGGGAUCACCUCGGGAAACCGUCGCUAAUACCGGAUAAUCUUCUGAACCGCAUGGUUCGAAAGUGAAAGACGGCCUUGCUGUCACUUAUAGAUGGAUCCGGGCUGCAUUAGCUAGUUGGUAGGGUAACGGCUUACCAAGGCAACGAUGCAUAGCCGACCUGAGAGGAGGAUCGGCCACACUGGAACUGAGACAGGGUCCAGACUCCUACGGGAGGCAGCAGUAGGGAACCUGAGGCAGUAGGCGGAAGCCUGACGCAGCGACGCCGCGUGUGUGACGAAGGCCUUCGGUUCGUAAAGAUCGGUUAUGGGGGAAGAACAGAUGUAGAAGUAGAUGUGGACAGAUUGACGGUACUUAAUAAAGAAGCAACGGCUAACUACGUG
rnacentral:rRNA from 1 species